rnacentral:rRNA from 1 species
CAAAAACAUCGCCUCUUGAUUUUCUAUAAGAGGUCCAGCCUGCCCAGUGACCAUGUUCAACGGCCGCGGUAUCCUAACCGUGCGAAGGUAGCGUAAUCACUUGUUCUUUAAAUGUGGACUAGUAUGAAUGGCAUCACGAAGGUUAUACUGUCUCCUUUUUCUAAUCAGUGAAACUAAUCUCCCCGUGAAGAAGCGGGGAUAAAAUUAUAAGACGAGAAGACCCUAUGGAGCUUUAAACAACGCAGCAAUUACUAAAGAAUUUUUAAUGUUUCUGUANACACUNAACUUUUACAAGUAAAAUGACUGCAAGUUUUUGGUUGGGGUGACCACGGAGUAUAUCAUAACCUCCAUGUUGAAAGAAUUUUNNUCUAAGCCAAGAAUUACCAAUCUAAGCAUUAACAAAUUAUCAUCUAUUGACCCAAUAAAUUUGAUCAACGAACCAAGUUACCCUAGGGAUAACAGCGCAAUCCACUUCAAGAGCCCCUAUCGACAAGUGGGUUUACGACCUCGAUGUUGGAUCAGGGUAUCCCAGUGGUGCAGCCGCUACUAAAGGUUCGUUUGUUCAACGAUUAAAACCCUACGUGAUC